CGCGUGAGGAACCUGCCUCAAAGAGGGGGACAACAGUUGGAAACGACUGCUAAUACCGCAUAAGCCCACGGCUCGGCAUCGAGCAGAGGGAAAAGGAGCAAUCCGCUUUGAGAUGGCCUCGCGUCCGAUUAGCUAGUUGGUGAGGUAACGGCCCACCAAGGCAACGAUCGGUAGCCGGACUGAGAGGUUGAACGGCCACAUUGGGACUGAGACACGGCCCAG
rnacentral:rRNA from 1 species